AGCUUGUUUAAAAGCCUACUUUCUCGUAAGGUUUUUAAAUAGGCCUGAAUCCUAACUUUGAAUAGGCUGAGGCCAUGUUAGACCUAAUGCAAGAAACAUAAAGCUGCUUUAUCUAUUCCCACCUUUUUUCUCUGAAUUAUUUGCUGUGGAAAAUAAAGAUAAACAUAUAUAUUUAAAGGUUCCAAACAGAAGAAAGUUGUUUCGUACAUGUGCAUGACUUCUUUUCUUUGUAGGAGAUUGAAGUUGGAAAAGCUGUGCAGCCUCAAUUAGCUAAGAGAGUUGCUAACGCUGCUGAAGCAUGGAAGAAGCUUCAUGGUAAGGAAGUGGUUGCUGAGUGCAAAUUUGAUGGUGAUCGCAUUCAAAUUCAUAAAAAUGGAACAGAGAUACAUUUCUUCUCAAGGAACUUUCUUGAUCAUUCAGAAUAUGCACAUGCGAUGUCAGACAUCAUAAUACAAAAUAUUCUUGUAGAUAGGUGAGAAUGUUUCCUAUAGUAUAGUUAUGUUAUGAUCCUGUCAAAUGAUUUCCUAUUCUUUUAAUCUUCAUGAUGGGCAAUGUAAUUG